rnacentral:rRNA from 1 species
AGAGUUUGAUCAUGGCUCAGGACGAACGCUGGCGGCGUGCCUAAUACAUGCAAGUAGAACGCUGAAGAGAGGAGCUUGCUCUUCUUGGAUGAGUUGCGAACGGGUGAGUAACGCGUAGGUAACCUGCCUUGUAGCGGGGGAUAACUAUUGGAAACGAUAGCUAAUACCGCAUAACAAUGGAUGACACAUGUCAUUUAUUUGAAAGGGGCAAUUGUUCCACUACAAGAUGGACCUGCGUUGUAUUAGCUAGUAGGUGAGGUAAUGGCUCACCUAGGCGACGAUACAUAGCCGACCUGAGAGGGUGAUCGGCCACACUGGGACUGAGACACGGCCCAGACUCCUACGGGAGGCAGCAGUAGGGAAUCUUCGGCAAUGGGGGCAACCCUGACCGAGCAACGCCGCGUGAGUGAAGAAGGUUUUCGGAUCGUAAAGCUCUGUUGUAAGUCAAGAACGGGUGUGAGAGUGGAAAGUUCACACUGUGACGGUAGCUUACCAGAAAGGGACGGCUAACUACGUGCCAGCAGCCGCGGUAAUACGUAGGUCCCGAGCGUUGUCCGGAUUUAUUGGGCGUAAAGCGAGCGCAGGCGGUUUGAUAAGUCUGAAGUUAAAGGCUGUGGCUCAACCAUAGUUCGCUUUGGAAACUGUCAAACUUGAGUGCAGAAGGGGAGAGUGGAAUUCCAUGUGUAGCGGUGAAAUGCGUAGAUAUAUGGAGGAACACCGGUGGCGAAAGCGGCUCUCUGGUCUGUAACUGACGCUGAGGCUCGAAAGCGUGGGGAGCGAACAGGAUUAGAUACCCUGGUAGUCCACGCCGUAAACGAUGAGUGCUAGGUGUUGGAUCCUUUCCGGGAUUCAGUGCCGCAGCUAACGCAUUAAGCACUCCGCCUGGGGAGUACGACCGCAAGGUUGAAACUCAAAGGAAUUGACGGGGGCCCGCACAAGCGGUGGAGCAUGUGGUUUAAUUCGAAGCAACGCGAAGAACCUUACCAGGUCUUGACAUCCCGAUGCUAUUUCUAGAGAUAGAAAGUUACUUCGGUACAUCGGUGACAGGUGGUGCAUGGUUGUCGUCAGCUCGUGUCGUGAGAUGUUGGGUUAAGUCCCGCAACGAGCGCAACCCCUAUUGUUAGUUGCCAUCAUUCAGUUGGGCACUCUAGCGAGACUGCCGGUAAUAAACCGGAGGAAGGUGGGGAUGACGUCAAAUUAUCAUGCCCCUUAUGACCUGGGCUACACACGUGCUACAAUGGUUGGUACAACGAGUUGCGAGUCGGUGACGGCGAGCUAAUCUCUUAAAGCCAAUCUCAGUUCGGAUUGUAGGCUGCAACUCGCCUACAUGAAGUCGGAAUCGCUAGUAAUCGCGGAUCAGCACGCCGCGGUGAAUACGUUCCCGGGCCUUGUACACACCGCCCGUCACACCACGAGAGUUUGUAACACCCGAAGUCGGUGAGGUAACCUUUUGGAGCCAGCCGCCUAAGGUGGGACAGAUGAUUGGGGUGAAGUCGUAACAAGGUA